GAUACCCUAUUAUUUGAAAUGUUAUUUUUUAUCCUUAGUUAUUAAUAGUUAUGUUCUUUAAAGUUAAAAAAUUUGGCGGUAUUUUAGUCUGUUCAGAGGAACCUGUCUUUUAAUCGAUAGUCCACGAUUAUUAAAACUUUGGUUUAUAAAUUUAUAUAUCGUUGUUUUUAAAGAUUUUAGGAGAAUUAUAAUUUUUGAUAUAUUCAAUUAUAUUGUAUUUCAGAUCAAGGUGUAGUUUAUACCAAAGAUUUGAUGGGUUACAUUACUUUUAGGUGUGGUUUUUUGCUUUAUAAGUUAAGAUAAAUUGGAUUUGAUAGUAAAUUUUAAAUUUAUACAUUUUGAUUUAGCUCUAAAA
rnacentral:rRNA from 1 species